GACACUAUGGCCCAGUGGAAAGCUUAUGCUUUCACAGCCUCACACAUUCGAUCAUUGGGAGUGUAGGGGCGGGGGUUCGAUUCCCCUUAGUGCCA